CGGGGUGCAGCAGGCGCGAAACCUCUGCAAUAGGCGAAAGCCUGACAGGGUUACUCUGAGUGAUUCCCGCUAAGGGGAUCUUUUGGCACCUCUAAAAAUGGUGCAGAAUAAGGGGUGGGCAAGCCUGGUGUCAGCCGCCGCGGUAAUACCAGCACCCCGAGUGGUCGGGACGAUUAUUGGGCCUAAAGCAUCCGUAGCCGGCCACGCAAGUCCUCCGUUAAAUCCACCCGCUCAACGGUUGGGCUGCGGAGGAUACUACGUGGCUAGGAGGCGGGAGAGGCAAGCGGUACUCAAUGGGUAGGGGUAAAAUCCUUUGAUCCAUUGAAGACCACCAGUGGCGAAGGCGGCUUGCCAGAACGCGCUCGACGGUGAGGGAUGAAAGCUGGGGGAGCAAACCGGAUUAGAUACCCGGGUAGUCCCAGCUGUAAACGAUGCAGACUCGGUGAUGGGAUGGCCUCGAGCCAUCCCAGUGCCGCAGGGAAGCCGUUAAGUCUGCCGCCUGGGGAGUACGGUCGCAAGACUGAAACUUAAAGGAAUUGGCGGGGGAG
rnacentral:rRNA from 1 species